ensembl:lncRNA
AUGUACAAAAGAAAAGGUAAAAUCAAAAUAUCACAAAUGAUGGAUGAAUACAAAGAUCAACAAUUUUCAGAUGAAAAGAACUCCACAUUUGAUUGUGGAAUCGAAGAGAGGUCGAGAGUCAUUGUGGAACAAGAACUACAAGUUGAUGAUGAAGACCGGAGGCUCUCAGCUCACUCAACAAGUGAAACUGAAAACCAAACGUUGACUGCAGCUAUCCAAGAUUCUGAUGGCGAUUUGGAAGACGACUGUGAUAUUCAUGAUGGAGAGUUGCAACCCACAAGUUUAUCAAAUAAACUUGUCAAAAGAAGGAAAGCCCAAAAAAGACAUGCAGACAAUGAUGGUGACAGGGGAUUGCUGAACUUGUCUGUGGAAGAGAAACAUGGCAAAGGACAAAACUCUAUUACAACUCUCAAUGAGGACAGUGACGGAGAUGAGUAUGGAGAAAAGCCUUUUGGGAUUUCUUCCACAAGCCCGGUCCAAAGAAAGAAAAUGAAAACCAAGCAUGGAGUGGCUGCUGCUGAUCCUGCUCAAUGCGGUUCGUACAAAUAAAUUGGUUUGUAUGGUGGUAGUUUAAAACAAAAGUCAACUUGAGGACUUUCAUAAGUCGAAAUUGGCUAUUUAAAUUGGAUUUGAGGUCUCAAUUGCCUCUGUAAACACUACAAACAUGAAAUAAAAUUAUCAAAACAUUUUCUGUUAUUGUUUGGUUUAAGUAAUUAUGUGCCUUAAACAACCUCUUUUCAAUAUCCUUUAUUGAGAUGUCAAAUUAAAAACCAGCCAGUUACCUGACCUGUAAGCAGAAUCUUGAGCUUUGAACAGGGACCACAAUGUUGUCCAAUCAUUGUGUCUGGAUUAGGAAUUCUUUAAAGCUGCAUUGCUGCAUGAAUUCAAGCAAAAUGAGGCCAAGACAAGUAUUGAUGCAUAGAAGACUUUUUAAUUUGAAUGUUUCUCUCUUAUAGGGGCAGCAGUAGCUCAGGAAGUUGAGUGGGUUGUCCAGUAAUCUGAAGGUUGCAGGUGCUAUCCUGGCUCUGACCAAACAAUACUGCUGUUGUGUCCUUGGGCAAGACACUUAACCCACUUUGCCUGCUGGUGGUGAUCGGAGGGACUGGUGGCGCCUGUGCUUAGCAGCCUUGCGUCUCUCAGUGUGCCCCAGGGCAGCUGUGGCUACAUCGUAGCUCAUCACUACUAGUGUGUGAAUGUGUGCGUGAAUGGAUGAAUGAUACACUGUAGUUUAAAGCACUUUGGAGUUCUCUGACUAAGAAAGGCACUAUACAAGUGUGGGUCAUUUAUCUUUUAUCUUGCAUAUUUUAUAUUUUCUGAGACACUUAAGGCCUGAAACAUUAAAGCCUUUAAUGCAUUUAUGAGGGUUUCGUAUUCUCACAAUAGUGAAGAAAAAUAUUGAAUUGUGUUAAAGUCAGAUGAAAAUAUAUAUAUAUAUAUAUAUAUACUUGUAAUUUUGAGAAAUUGCGUUUAGCUGUAUGUCAUGUUAAUCUUAACAUGACAUACAGUAAAAUCAUAAAGAAAUUGAGGGCAACAAAAAAAAGGCAGCAUCAAUUAAAGAUGUAUCUUCUUUUUUGUAGGUCAUUUGCAAAUUAAAGGGAAGACCCCAUGGAAUGAGCAGGAGAAGCUGGCAGUUAAGCAACACUUGGCUGUUUUUGCGGAAGGUGCCAGGAAAAAAGACUGUAUCCUAUGCAUUGAAAAAUCCUCUCCUGUUCUCCAAAAGAGAACCUGGAAAGAUGUGAAAUAUUGUGUAUAAUGAAAUGAUAAAGAUUGCAAAAUCACUAAAACAUUAAGGCAUUUCUAAGUGUCUCGAAACUUACACAAAUGUUAAUGUUUAAAAAGCUGUAAGGCUUCUGUUUAUAUAAUAAAAAUGUGUUAAAAUGCAAUGAAAUCAAAUUAUUUAAAAAUAUAUUAACUUGUAAGUUUGACUUUAUCAAAGAACCACACAACUGAAGUUACCUUAUUGUGUUUUAGUAAAUUGACCAUUUUCUCUAAAAACUAAAAGUGGGCUUCUGCUUGCUUAUAACAUUAAUUUAAUCCUCACAGUAUAUAUAUUAAAAACAUAUCAGACAUGUUUUUUUGCUCCAAAAUAUGAGAUCAACAGUUAUUAUUUCAUAACUUUAGGGNACCUGGAAAGAACAUGGAUUAUGUGUAAAAUGAAAUUAUAAAGAUUACAAACUCACUAAAACAUUAAGGCAUUUCUAAGUGUCUCGAAACUUACACAAAUGUUAAUGUUUAAAAAGCUGUAAGGCUUCUGUUUAUAUAAUAAAAAUGUGUUAAAAUGCAAUGAAAUCAAAUUAUUUAAAAAUAUAUUAACUUGUAAGUUUGACUUUAUCAAAGAACCACACAACUGAAGUUACCUUAUUGUGUUUUAGUAAAUUGACCACUUUCUCUAAAAAAAUAAAAGUGGGCUUCUUCUUGCUUAUAACAUUAAUUUAAUCCUCACAGUAUAUAUAUUUAAAAAAACAUAUCAGACAUGGUUGUUUUGCUCCAAAAUAUGAGAUCAACAGUUAUUAUUUCAUAACUUUAGGGGGGGGGGUCAGCUGAGCAAUUGGUCCUCAGUAUGCUGGUUAAAAACUUUUUUUGAAAAAUGGCAAUAUUGCAAUAUCUAAAGGAGUGUUUAGGUUGGUUUUUACACCCAGUGUCCAGAAAUCAUCUUUUUGUGUCUCUAAGUACAUCACAAAUGGUGGGCCUCAGUUUGUGAGUAAUUUUACUUGGUCCUCAGUAUGUAGUAAGUACAAGAAUGCGUGUGUGUGUGUGUGUGUGUGUGUGUGUGUGUGUGUGUGUGUGUGUGUGUGUGUGUGUGUAAAACAGUGGUUCCAAGCUCUUCAUCUCCUGUUGGGAUAAUAGAAGUCUCCAUUCCAUUAGGGGUCCAGUGUUCUUGUGAUGUUUUCAUAAUCUGCUUCACUUUCAUCUUCCUCUUGAUAAGGAUUCUGCUGUUUGGUGUUUCUCUGCAGCAUAAUAAGAAAACCAUCAUUUCCAUACACCUGAAAAAAAAAACGUAGAAAAGGAAGUAAUUUAAAGGACGUUCAUUAUUAUAGUUUAAACAUCAAGUUAUGUAACUAUAUUUCCCUGAAGAAGAGGAACGAGGUACAACACAGUGGGAUAUCAUGCCCCUGCGUGGUCUAACUGAACACACCUUCAGUCACAUGAUGUAUUAUGUAACGUCACGUAGGGGAAAGGCCACGCCUACUCACACGUGAAGUCGUGUUUGAAGACCGCUCUUCACUGAGCUCAGCGGGGCUACAAAGGUCUUGUACCUUGUUCCUCUUCUUCGCUGAACAGUGAUUAUACGCAUAACUGAACGUUGCUCGGUACAAUACAUGUAGUUGCCAGAAAAAGUAUGUGAACCCCUUUGAAUUACAUGGAUUUCUACACUAAUUUGGUUAUUAAAUUUGAUCUAAUCUUCAUCACAGACAGCCACAGUCUGCCUAAACUAAUAUCACACAAAUAAUUAUAUGUUUCCAUGUUUUUACUGAACACCAUGUAAACAUUCACAGUGCAGAUGAACCCUGAGUAGUAACAAUCGUCCUAAUAAAAGAUUCAUCAGUGCUUUGUAGUUAAAGAAAUUAUAAUCAGGGUCUAUGUUACUGCCAUACUCUAAUAACCUAACAUCUGUUUGUAUUUUUGGCGUAACGUGUAUGCUGUCAGACAUCUGGAUAGGUUGUAUUAUACAUUCUGGCCAUGGGGCGAUCGGGCCUGUGUGGAAUUUCAUUAACCCUGUAAAGGGUCAUUUUAGCACAUACUGGCUCAAGAAAAUGAUUUUAAAAUAUAAAAAAGUAGCAAAAGACAUAUUUAAAGGGGCAUUAUGGAAGUUUGACAGCCAAAACAUGUUUAGAAAUAAUACAUUUCUUCUUCAUACAUUCUCCUGCAAUGCCCUGGUCCUGUAGAAUGAGCCCUGGCAUUUUUACUGUGAUUGCCUGUUUUUCUGUAAAAUCACAGAAAAAGAGAG